rnacentral:rRNA from 1 species
UACGGGGGGAGCAAGCGUUGUUCGGAUUUACUGGGCGUAAAGGGCGCGUAGGCGGUCGUGACAAGUCACUUGUGAAAUCUCCGGGCUUAACUCGGAACGGUCAAGUGAUACUGUCGGACUAGAGUACAGAAGGGGCAACUGGAAUUCUCGGUGUAGCGGUGAAAUGCGUGGAUAUCGAGAGGAACACCUGCGGCGAAGGCGGGUUGCUGGGCUGAUACUGACGCUGAGGCGCGAAAAGCCAGGGGAGCGAACGGG